rnacentral:ncRNA from 1 species
ACAAUGAAGAGUUUGAUCCUGGCUCAGGAUGAACGCUAGCGGCAGGCCUAACACAUGCAAGUCGAGGGGCAGUUCCGACUUCGGUUGG